rnacentral:rRNA from 1 species
CCUCCCUGGGGUCGAUUAGCAUGCGAGUCGUGAGGGGUUAUGCCCUCGGCGGACUGCUCAGUAACACGUGGAUAACCUGCCCAAGGGUCCGGGAUAACCCCGGGAAACUGGGGAUAAUACCGGAUAGAUCACCAUUGCUGGAAGGCUAGGUGGUUUAAAGGUGACGCCCUUGGAUGGGUCUGCGGCGGAUUAGGUUGACGCCGGUGUAACGUACCGGCGUGCCUGUAAUCCGUACGGGUUGUGGGAGCAAGAGCCCGGAGAUGGAUUCUGAGACAUGAAUCCAGGCCCUACGGGGCGCAGCAGGCGCGAAAACUCUACAAUGCAGGCAACUGCGAUAGGGGGACAUCGAGUGGCAUCCACCUUGGGUGCCUGUCCAACCGUCUAAAAAACGGUUGUUAGCAAGGGCCGGGUAAGACCGGUGCCAGCCGCCGCGGUAAUACCGGCGGCUCGAGUGGUGGCCGAUAUUAUUGAGUCUAAAGGGUCCGUAGCCGGCUUUGCAAGUCCCCUGGGAAAUCCAGCGGCUUAACCGUUGGGCUUUCAUGGGAUACUACAUUGCUUGGGACUGGGAGAGGUAGGAGGUACUCGGGGGGUAGGGGUAAAAUCCUGUAAUCCUCCGGGGACCACCGGUGGCGAAGGCGUCCUACCAGAACAGGUCCGACGGUGAGGGACGAAAGCUAGGGGCACGAACCGGAUUAGAUACCCGGGUAGUCCUAGCCGUAAACGAUGCCCGCUAGGUGUCACGACGGUCGUGAAUCGUCGUGGUGCCGUAGGGAAGCCGCGAAGCGGGCCACUUGGGAAGUACGACCGCAAGGUUGAAACUUAAAGGAAUUGGCGGGGGAGCACCACAACGGGUGGAGCCUGCGGUUUAAUUGGAGUCAACGCCGGG